rnacentral:rRNA from 1 species
UACUCGAGCGGCGAACGGGUGAGUAACACGUGAGUAAUCUGCCUCUGGCUUCGGGAUAGCCACCGGAAACGGUGAUUAAUACCGGAUAUGACAUCUUCACGCAUGUGAUGGGUGUGGAAAGUUUUUUCGGCCAGGGAUGUGCUCGCGGCCUAUCAGCUUGUUGGUGGGGUAAUGGCCUACCAAGGCUUCGACGGGUAGCCGGCCUGAGAGGGUGACCGGCCACACUGGGACUGAGACACGGCCCAGACUCCUACGGGAGGCAGCAGUGGGGAAUAUUGGACAAUGGGCGGAAGCCUGAUCCAGCAACGCCGCGUGAGGGAUGACGGCCUUCGGGUUGUAAACCUCUUUCAGCACAGACGAAGCGCAAGUGACGGUAUGUGCAGAAGAAGGACCGGCCAACUACGUGCCAGCAGCCGCGGUAAUACGUAGGGUCCGAGCGUUGUCCGGAAUUAUUGGGCGUAAAGGGCUCGUAGGCGGUUUGUCGCGUCGGGAGUGAAAACACCGGGCUUAACUCGGUGCUUGCUUUCGAUACGGGCAGACUAGAGGCAUUCAGGGGAGAACGGAAUUCCUGGUGUAGCGGUGAAAUGCGCAGAUAUCAG